AAGGGACAGAUGAUGUCCCUCAUUUCUACCUACCAAUGGAGAAGAUUCCAGGGCUGGUCAAGAUUCUUAUUUACCAAGUCAGUUGCAGUGGGCUUAAGUAAGUUCUCAGAUAAGGCUGUGGGGGCCUGCAGGACCAGAUAUCCCGACCAAAAGCCCCCUUCCCACUCCUUCACUCGCCUACCGCAGAGAUGCACGGGUGGGAGUGGGGAACUGAGGCGAGAAGCAGCAGGUGGGGCGGGAUUGAGAGAAGAGAAACUAUCCUACAGUAAAAGCUCGAGCUGUUGCUCCUUCCCACUUCUUCCGCGCCCCCUCUUCCCCCUCUCCUGCUUUCCUGGUCCAACCCUCUUAUGCUCCUAACACCAGCACCUCCUUUACUUCCAGCUGACAAGUAAUUGUCGGCGUAGCCGCCCCCCUGGGGCAUGGAGGAGCGGAAAGGCGAGAAGGAGCCAGGGCUAGAGUCCUGGACGGUGGCAGUCAGGUCGCGGGGCCCCAGCAGUCUGGACUCUCUGGGACUCUCUCUUCCGGGUGUUUCUCUGGCGCCGCGCGGGAGAAGACGGAGCCUGGGAGCUGGGCCUGGAGGAGCGGGAAGUGCAGUACCGGAACCGCGGCCUUGAGACCAGGAACACGCAGACCCGCCAGGGCCAGUUUCUACUUCGACCAGCGCAAGUGCGCGACGACCAAGCGCCGACCACCUCGGGCUGCCGCGGAGACCCCCCCCAUAAAGGACUCGCGAGCGCAGGCCCCCUAGGGGAGGGCGUUAAGCAGGCGGGGCCUGCGGCGUCCCUCCCGCCUCCACGACGCGGAGCCCUGAUUGACGUUCAGCCAGGUCAAUCAUGGCCUCAGCGUCUGAGGCGGGCGGAGCUGGAGCGCCCCGGGCACGCCCGCGGGGGCGGGUCCCAAGUAUGUAAUCUCUCAGCGCGCCGGGGCAGGCGGCCGCUCACCUGAGGGCUCCUUCGUGUUAGCGCUUCCCGCCCCCCGCACUGAAACGUCGGCACCUGGGCCUGGACAGAGGCAGAGACUGGGACUCAAAACCCCAAGGGGAGGUGCCUAAUGUGCCGAGUCCCGGAACGCCUGCCUGGAAGAAGAGUUCCGGCGGCUCCCCGAACACUUGGAGAAAGCGCUCGGAUGCAGUUGCAGGGUGAGAUUUGGGACGGUGAUUGUGUCUCCCAGAAGGCGCCCAGCCUGGGUGGUGAAGGAAGGAUACAGACCUCUAGAUUCCCCUCUCGUUGGGGUGGGGUGGGAGACAGCAGUGAGAGUAGUUCUUGUCCCUGGCGCUCCUCAGGGCCGGCGGGUGGAGGAGAGGGAAGGGGAGGGAGAGGGGUCUGCCCGGGCCCUCAGACCCUUUGCUUUGUGAGAGAUGUAUGUACUCUGAGUAUCCCUGCUCUGGAGGCAUCAUUAAAGAAUCCAUGUUCUUGGGGAGGGUCUCAGGAGAGCACUCUGGGUGAUAUCCUUAUUCUUCCUGUUUUCACUGUGUUUGUUUGGGUAUAACUUGUUCCCUUUAACCGGAGGUGGCCUUGGUGUCCGGCAGCCGUUUUCUCUGCCAGGCACCACCCUCUGGGCCUCACGUCUUCAUCCCUCAAGUCCGCUGCCUCUAAGCUGCUACUUGAACCUGGUCUGUUUCUACCUCUGCUGGACCAGAAGUUUGCAUGAACACCCCACCCCAUCCUGCAAGACCAGCGCUUCCAACCGAACGCGCUCUCCUCUGAACCUCGAACCUGCUUGGAAAUCUGAGUAUUUCCUCUAUGCCUAGUUGGACAUCGAUGUUUGGAUUUCACAUCUCCCAACUCUGUUGGGUAUUAAGUCAUUUCUCAGCUUGGUUACAUGUGCCUCCAUUGAGUGGACCAUAUCUCCGGAAUUUCUCCUGACCCUCCCUGUACACUCCUCCAGUCUUCUCUCUUUUUUUUCUCCAAACCACCCUCCCCCACCAGAAGUGACUUUACCCCUGCGCCACCUUUUCUGGCCUGGAGCACCAAGGAGCCGUGCCACUCCCAGUGCCAGAGGUGGAAGAGGAAUGAGGUUUGAAAUGUGGGGAAUCAGAAGCUAAUUUGUGGGAAAUUCUUCCACUCCUCAGGCGUGUAAAUAUGUGUUGGAGACUCUCAUAAAUAUAUAUUCAGAAAUGCAGCAUAUACAAUGAUGACCGUGUAUUCAUUUUUUAUGGGAAUCAACAAUUCAGAAUGAUCAAAAAUCCCUGUAUGUAGAGGACAAGAAUCUAUAGAAAUAUCAUACAUUGUGAACACAAUUGUGAGUGAAAUCCCAUGUUUCAUGCAUCCCAACAGUCCCAAAGUGAGGUGUACAAGAUUCAGACCCAAUGUAUCUGUCUAUGCUCUAGCUGUACGAGCUGUUACCUCAAUCUUGAUGAAGUUACUCUGGAAGUCUGGGCUCUUGAUUUUUGCCUGUCACUGAUCACUUGGCUAUAGGAAAGGAGACCUAAAUCCAGAACUUAAAUUUAUGAACACCAGGUCUGUGGCACUAGACCUCAGAAGUAGGUGGCUAUUGGUUGAUCCCCUCUGGAGUGAGGCAGAGAUACCUAUGCCAUAUGCAACACAGAGGGCUGCCUGAGCCCUCAGCCUGAGGUAGAGUAAGGAGGGAGAGGUAGAGAGGGGCUUUCUUCUCAGACCAGGGAAAUCAGAAGCUAUCAGAUGCCUUCAGUAGGACCAGGGAUCCAAUGCAAAGGGGAUCGUAAGUCAUCUCCCUGCUUCUCUGUAGUCACCACGGACAUAAUUGCUAGCCUCCCCUUCCUUGGUGCUCUGGUUAGUAGAGUGAAGUUGAGAUAAAAUAUAGGUGAAAAAACUGAGCAGAAAGGGAGUGAGGAUACAGGGCCUCUUCAGUUUGCCUUAUGGGUUUCUCACUCUAAAUAGAUGAGCACAAUAUUCUGGCACUGUCACAUUAGGGCCAGAGUUGGUAGCUCACAGAUAUACGAUAGAGGAUGGAAGGAGUAUGCCUCUCAGGCAGGCAAGUCUAGCCUGGUAGACAGAGGGUGUGGCUGAAAAGUCACUGCCUACAAGACCAGUGCAUGCAAGUGAGUCCCUGCUGCUGCUUGGGUUAGAGGAGGUGAGGCAGGAGGCUGAUGAAAACUCACAGACUGGUGGUCAGUCUGAGAAGCAGUCAAAAUGGAGAACUGCAAAUUUAGCAGCACAGGUUUUCCAGGAGUCUCAGUGCCCAAUGUCAGGUCUACCAGGCAUGGCCAGCCCCUGUGGUCUCAGCCCCAGGAGCCUGGUCUGGAUGUGGAUCCCCUCUGCUUAUUCACAGGGGCCUGAGAAGCCGAGCCAGAAACCUGGAUAGUGACCAGAAAGUCACUCAGACACCUGAGAAAUGCUCCCCUUAUAUCCAAGAGAUCCCGGUGUGUAGAAGACAUGAAUCUGCAGGAAUAUCACAUACAUUGUAAGUCCACGUUCCUAUUGGGGUAACACAGGAAAGAAGAAUAGCUCGAUGGUCUUCCCUUCACAUCUCUUUUACAAGGAUUGUGAAAUGUUGGACGCCUCCUCUCAUAGACUUAGGUAGACCUAAAAUUGUCAACAUGUGUCCAAAUAGUUGCGAAAAAUAUAUAAUUUCCAACAUAUUUCCCAUAUUAACACUUCAAAAUAAAACUGUUAAUCACUAGUAUGUUCAAUUUAAUCUAAAUCCCAUAAUGUUUUGACACCCAUUAUUUAAAAAUAUACAAACAAUCUCUUUCUUAAUGGUUGGAAAUUUUACAUUGCUCUUUUGUUCCCCCUUUGAAUUCAUAUUUUUAUUCUACUCUCCCUGUAGAUUUUUUUUUUUUUUUUUUUUUGGCAUGCUCAACCCUG